UGAACGCUGGCGGCGUGCCUACUACAUGCAAGUCGAGCGAACAGACGAGGAGCUUGCUCCUCUGACGUUAGCGGCGGACGGGUGAGUAACACGUGGAUAACCUACCUAUAAGACUGGGAUAACUUCGGGAAACCGGAGCUAAUACCGGAUAAUAUAUUGAACCGCAUGGUUCAAUAGUGAAAGACGGUUUUGCUGUCACUUAUAGAUGGAUCCGCGCCGUAUUAGCUAGUUGGUAAGGUAACGGCUUACCAAGGCGACGAUGCGUAGCCGACCUGAGAGGGUGAUCGGCCACACUGGAACUGAGACACGGUCCAGACUCCUACGGGAGGCAGCAGUAGGGAAUCUUCCGCAAUGGGCGAAAGCCUGACGGAGCAACGCCGCGUGAGUGAUGAAGGUCUUCGGAUCGUAAAACUCUGUUAUUAGGGAAGAACAAAUGUGUAAGUAACUAUGCACGUCUUGACGGUACCUAAUCAGAAAGCCACGGCUAACUACGUG
rnacentral:rRNA from 1 species